GAGAAGCUCUGAAUCCUAACGCGAAGAGCUGGGUCCCUUUCCACGAUGGAGAAAUUGAUCGUAAGCCACGCUUGAAAUCGUUCGAAAAUGACAGCAACCAUGCGUCUGCAGCCGGAUUAGCACUACUGCCUGUUAAGGUUAAAGCACCAGGUCUCGACAAGAUCGUGGAAACCUACGCAUUUUUAGAUCAUGGUUCCAAUACUUCUUCUUCAGAGGGACUCAUUGAAGAGCUUGGCAUUAAUGGACGAGCAACAACAUUGUCACUGACAACCAUGGAAAGCAAAAACACCAGCAUCAAAUUCUCAGCAGUUGACUUUGAAGUGAUGGAUCUCAAAGAAGAAACUCUUGUCGAAUUGCCACAGGUGUUCACCAGACCACAUCUACCCGUCACAGUAGAGAAUGCCGCUAACCAAGGGGAUGUAGAUCGUUGGCCGCACCUUGCUGGAAUAAAAAUCUCCAAAAUCGACGCGAACGUGGGUUUGCUUAUUGGGAAUGACGCCCCAAAAAUUCUUCACCCGAAAGAAGUGAGGGAAUCCUCCCACAAUGGUCCUGUUGAAGGAUUCAGAUUUGCGCGUAAAGUACGCAGCCUGCAUAGAAGACCUCCCUCAGAAGGUAUAUGCAAAGAAGGCCCUACCUAUCGGUAUUCCAGGAGGAACUUGGUACCUUCCCCAUCGUGCUGUUUUCCACCCAGCCAAGCCAGGAAAGAUUCGCAUCGUUUUCGACUGUUCCAUUUAACAUCGUGGAAGUUCUUUGAAUGACAAGUUCUUACAGGGGCCGGACCUCACGAACUCCCUGGUUGGAGUGCUGACUCGUUUCCGACAGGAGGCUGUAGGUCUCGUGGCAGAUGUCGAGGCCAUGUUCCGUCAAGUCAGUGUGGUUCCUGAAGACCGUAAGGCCUUACGAUUCCUUUGGUGGCCAAAUGGAGAGCUAGGAGCUCAAGCAGAAGAACUGAUGAUGAUGAUAGUGCAUCUAUUCGGCGGAGUCUCAUCUCCUAGCUGUGCCAAUUUUGCAUUCAAGAAAGCGGUAGAAGAUAAUCCAUCGAGCUUUCGUCCUGAGACCGUACGAACAGUAAAGUGUAAUUUCUACGUAGAGGACUGUCUGAAAUCUGUGGCAACGGAUGAAAGCGCUAUCUGUUUUGCGAGGGAACUUAGGGAGCUUCUGUCGAAAGGUGGCUUCCGUCUCACGAAAUGGCUGUCUCACUCUCAUAAAGUGGUUGAGUCAAUUCUAGGGGCUGAAAGAGCAACAGCAGUGAAGAACCUAGAUUUCGACCAUCCCAUCAUUGAAAGAGCUCUUGGAGUACGAUGGCAAGUGAGUUCGGAUACUUUCAGCUUCAACAUCAACAUUAAGGAUAGGCCAGCUACUAGGAGAGGACUGUUGUCCGUUAUCAGCUCAGUCUACGACCAGCUUGGAUUCGUUGCUCCUUUCAUCCUCACGGCUAAGGUGAUCCUUCAAGAUCUCUGCAAAAAGAAGCUCGAUUGGAAUGACCGUAUACCGGACGAAGAUUUGAGACAUUCGCAAACAUGGUUAUGCGAGCUACCAAAACUGGAGCACUUUCAUAUAGAACGAUGCUUCAAACCUCGCGACUUUGGUGAAGUGACUUCUUGCCAGCUCCACUUCUUCUCUGACGCAUCACAACUGGCUUACGGUGCUGUCGCCUAUCUACGAUUGGUUCACGACCGUGAUUAUAAACGGGCGUCCCUCGACUAAAGUAUCAGACAACCCCAGAGAUCCAGAAGCUUUGACCCCAAACCACCUCCUACUCCUGCGUUCAGGACCUACCCUCUCCCCGGGUGUCUUCGCUAAAGAGGACCGCUAUUCCCGACAAAGAUGGAGACACGUGCAAUACCUGACAGACGUGUUCUGGCGACGGUGGAUUCAAUAAUACCUCCCCUCGCUCCAGCAAAGGCAGAAAUGGAAUCAUACUACCCGCAAUUUUGCAGUUGGCGACGUCGUGCUCUUGUUGGAUGAAAAAACACCGAGAAGUUCCUAGCCGCUUGGGCGUAUCUUGGAAGCUUUUCCAAAUCAGAGUGAUGGCCUGGUGAGGAGUGUCAAGCUAAAAACCAAGUCCUCGGUUCUUGUGCAUCCCAUCGACAAAAUUUUGUUGUUGGAAGCUGCCUGAGCAGUGAUCUUGUGAACAGCAUCUUAAGAGAACUUUCAUUUUAUUGACAUUUAGUUUUUAUUCCGAAGCGUUUCAACCCUGUUUUAUGUUUUUAGUUAAAGGCAAUCAGUUGUAUCCGCCUUUAAAGGGGCUGGAAUGUCAGUUUCGAAACGCUUAGUUAAUAUACACUUUAUUAUAGUUUUGUUCUGGUUCAUUUUAAGUCUUUCGUUAGUUAAUGAUUAUUACAGCAAGUUUGUUAUCUCCGAUCAAAUUUCCACUUAAGUGCACGUGUAAAGAUUCUAUUUCAAUCGUCGCUUGUAGUCAUCGCUGCUAAAUCAUCACUGCUAAAUCGUCGCUGCUAGAUAAUCGCUACAAGCUAUUUGCUACCGUUCGCUGCAAGCUAUUUACUAUCGUUAGGAGCUAGACCAAAGGAACAUUCCAGUGUUCAAGAGGUAACUUUACCUUCCAAUCUCUUCCAUGUGUGGAGAGUUUGGUCAUUUGAGCGCCUUCUGCUCAAGCUCAAAGUCCGCCGAUUCAGCGAGAAGCACUUCUCACCGGGGAUGACUGGCUUUUGGUCAGUGUCGGAUGAUGAUCAUCAUUUGCAGGGCAUACCGGGACGGACCGCUUGACAACUUGCUUGAGGGACUGAAAGAUCGACUGAAGACGACAGUACUCUCUUCCAAAGCAAAUGGGACUGUUAUGGUAUACAACCGAGCUUUCCGCGGAUGGAAUCAGUUUGCAAACGAUAAGUUAAACGGGAAAACCUUUCCCGCUAGCCCUUUUCAUGUGGCUUUGCAUUUACAACAUCUUCUAGAGGAAACCCACUCCCCUAGCGUCUUCUAGUGGAAACCCACUCCCCUAACGCGGUCGAUUCUGCUUUCUAUGGCUUAAAAUGGGCCUGUGACUUGGCAGGAAUCCCCUCCCCAACUGAUGACCCAAUUUGCUGAAGCCGUGAGGACGACGUCCAAAAGAGUUCUUGGUACCAGUGUCCUUAGUCGUAAAGAACCUAUUUCGGCCCUUUUAAUCCACGACAUUAUUAACAAAUCAGACUUAGAUAACCUUGUAAAGUUGCGUAAUGUUACCAUGUAUGUUUUAUCUUUUGCCGGUUUCUUUAGGUUUGACGAUGUGUCUAGAAUAAGAAGAAGUGAUAUUUCCUUUAAAGAAUGCUUCAUGAUUAUUAAGGUUUUGAAAAGCAAGAAUGACUAGCUCCGUAAAGGCGACGAAGUCGUUAUCUUACAAUUGUCUAGUUCUGUAUGCCCCGUUGAGUUGCUUAAGAGGUGUUUAGUUUUGUUUAAGAUACCCCCUGAUUCCAAAGAUUUUAUUUCAAGCCUAUUUCUAAAGGGAAGGGCUCUUGCAAGCUUGUUGCCCCUGAUAAGCCCAUUAGUUACUCUACUAUUAGAGGGGCUUUUCGCUGGGACCUGCAAAGUCUCGGAGUUGAACCGUCCAAGUUGGGUUUGCAUUCUCUAAGAUCUGGAGAAGCCAUUACGAUAGCAAAUAAUGGAGUAAACGAUAGAGUUUUCCAACGUUAUGGUUGUUGGAAAUCGGUACAAGCCAAAGACACAUACGUAGACGAUAAUUUUGAACAAUGACUCGAAGUAUCGCGUUUUCUUGGGCUCUGAAGGCAUUUUCGUGUUCUUUUUGGUGGUAUUAUAUCACCUAGCCUCGUGCGUCUUGCCCAAUUCUUUGUCAGUCUAUAUAUGCCUCGGGUUGGUUCUCGGCAGGCUUCCCUGAAUAAACUUAUUUGG